CACCUGGCCCACGGCGGGAAAAUGGUGGCGUUUGCGGGUUGGAGUCUGCCAGUGCAGUACCGGGACAGUCACACUGACUCGCACCUGCACACACGCCAGCACUGCUCGCUCUUUGACGUGUCUCAUAUGCUGCAGACCAAGAUACUUGGUAGUGACCGGGUGAAGCUGAUGGAGAGUCUAGUGGUUGGAGACAUUGCAGAGCUAAGACCAAACCAGGGGACACUGUCGCUGUUUACCAACGAGGCUGGAGGCAUCUUAGAUGACUUGAUUGUAACCAGUACUUCUGAGGGCCACCUGUAUGUGGUGUCCAACGCUGGCUGCUGGGAGAAAGAUUUGGCCCUCAUGCAGGUAUACCCCCUCUGUGUUCUAGGCACCUUGUCUUCCUUGUUCAUAGAGCAGCAUCCUUGUUAUCCAAGACAGGGUUGGCACAGACAAAGGACCUGGAAAAUGGCUCUUUCAGUGAAUGAACAGCUAUGAGACUCAAGAGCAGGCCCUCUCUGGAGCAUGCCAGGGUUUGGUGGUGGGGGAUUACCAGGCAUGGGGAGGGGGUCUUGGCCCCUCUGGUGUGAGGUGGCAGACCUGGGCUUGGGUCAUCUCUAUCACUUAGUAGCUAUGUGACCUUGUAAGAUGGGAACCAGCCUACUACCUUUUUUUCCUCCCUCCUCCUCCUCCUCUCCACUGUCUUACUACUGUCCAGCUCUGCAGCGUCCAGCCCAUGGUAGCUGCUCAGUAAGUGGCCCCAGAUGCUCUUGUGUUUCUGUCUUUUAGGACAAGGUCAGGGAGCUUCAGAACCAGGGCAGAGAUGUGGGCCUGGAGGUGUUGGAUAAUGCCCUGCUAGCUCUGCAAGUGCUGUGAUGGAGGUGUUUGGCGUGUCUGGCUGCCGUGUGACCCGCUGUGGCUACACAGGAGAGGAUGGUGUGGAGAUCUCGGUGCCGGUAGCGGGGGCAGUUCACCUGGCAACAGCUCUUCUGAAAAACCCAGAGGUGAAGCUGGCAGGGCUGGCAGCCAGGGACAGCCUGCGCCUGGAGGCAGGCCUCUGCCUGUACGGGAAUGACAUUGAUGAACACACUACACCUGUGGAGGGCAGCCUCAGUUGGACACUGGGGAAGCGCCGCCGAGCUGCUAUGGACUUCCCUGGAGCCAAAGUCAUUGUUCCCCAGCUGAAGGGCAAGGUGCAGCGGAGGCGUGUGGGGUUGAUGUGUGAGGGGGCCCCCAUGCGGGCACACAGUCCCAUCCUGAACAUGGAGGGUACCAAGAUUGGUACUGUGACUAGUGGCUGCCCCUCGCCCUCUCUGAAGAAGAAUGUGGCGAUGGGUUAUGUGCCCUGCGAGUACAGUCGUCCAGGGACAAUGCUGCUGGUAGAGGUGCGGCGGAAGCAGCAGAUGGCUGUAGUCAGCAAGAUGCCCUUUGUGCCCACAAACUACUAUACCCUCAAGUGAAGCUGGCUCAGGGUGGGGCUGUCCCUUCCAGAAGUUUUGCCCCUACAAGGGGUUAGUCAAGAAGCUGAGGCAGAACUCACUGGGGGUGGGCAGUUAAGGUGGAGGCUGAUUCUAAUUGUCUGGCUGAGGGGCCACACCACCUAUUCCCCCCACCUAACUCAUGCCACUCCAGCUUCCUUCAGGACCCUGCUUCUGAGUGACGGACCAGCUCACACAAUGUCUUGUUUCAGUCCAUGAUCCCACUGACCUACUCUUGCCUGCUGGAGGGUAAUGAGAAGCUUUGGUUCUGCCAUCUCUCCCACUCUGCCAGGUGCUGGCUGUGGAGCAAAGGCUCACCUUUGUGGGGAGGAUAAAACCUGCCCAACCUACCUCACCAUGGUUUUUCACAUUGCAAACGGUAAUAACAUGGGCAGUGUGGACUUAGGCUACCCCCUCCAGUUUGCUUUCCGUAAAUGCAAAUUGUCCCUACUGCAAGUCAGGAAUGAUUGCCGACUCACAGUAGGGCUGCUAUGCCUGUGUGUAAACUUGGGGAUGGCUGAGGGAACACAGACUCACUCUUCCGCAUUCCCAAGUUGGUCUAGUGUGCUGCCCAGUAGCAAACCAUGGCAGGCUCACCACCUAUUCUGAGCUCCAGGGCUGUUGUAGGGCAGGGUGGGCUUCCUCCCAGACUUGCCUUACCCUGGGCUGAUCUUUGCCCCUGGUAUGCAUUAA
rnacentral:sRNA from 1 species